CCUACGGGAGGCAGCAGUGGGGAAUAUUGCACAAUGGGGGAAACCCUGAUGCAGCGACGCCGCGUGAAGGAUGAAGUAUUUCGGUAUGUAAACUUCUAUCAGCAGGGAAGAAAAUGACGGUACCUGACUAAGAAGCCCCGGCUAACUACGUGCCAGCAGCCGCGGUAAUACGUAGGGGGCAAGCGUUAUCCGGAUUUACUGGGUGUAAAGGGAGCGUAGACGGCAUGGCAAGUCUGAUGUGAAAACCCGGGGCUCAACCCCGGGACUGCAUUGGAAACUGUCAGGCUGGAGUGUCGGAGAGGCAAGUGGAAUUCCUAGUGUAGCGGUGAAAUGCGUAGAUAUUAGGAGGAACACCAGUGGCGAAGGCGGCUUGCUGGACGAUGACUGACGUUGAGGCUCGAAAGCGUGGGGAGCAAACAGGAUUAGAUACCCUAGUAGUC
rnacentral:rRNA from 1 species